UGUAUUUCUUCUCGGUAAUCCGGUAACGUCGCGUUUGUGAGGAUUCGUUCAACUACGUCCAUUUGUCUUCUUCAUGGACUCGUUCUUCUUCCUUGCGGGAUUUCAGGCAAGAUGAUCAUACCCUCGAAAUCACUUCUAUCUUUGCUUGCUAGUUGCUUGCUCUUUUGCUAUGCCUAUGAUGCGAUACCUACCACUUGCUUAUCAUGCCUCCCAUAUUGUUGAGCCAAGCCUCUAACCCACCUUGCCCUAGCAAACCGUUGUUUGGCUAUGUUACCGCUUUGCUCAGCCCCUCUUAUAGCGUUGUUAGUUGCAGGUGAAGUUUGAAGUUUGUUCCUUGUUGGAACAUGGAGAUGGUGUUCCUUGUUGGAACAUGUUUACUUGUUGGGAUAUCACAAUAUAUCUUAUUUAAUUAAUGCUUCUAUACACUUGGUAAAGGGUGGAAGGCUCGGCCUUAUGCCUGGUGUUUUGUUCCACUCUUGCCGCCCUAGUUUCCGUCAUAUCGGUGUUAUGUUCCCGGAUUUUGUAUUCCUUACGCGGUUGGGUAAUAAUGGGAACCCCUUGACAAAUCGCCUUGAAUAAAACUCUUCCAGCAAUGCCCAACCUUGGUUUUACCAUUCGCCACCUAGCCUCUUUUUCCCUUGGGUUCCGCAGACUCAAGGGUCAUCUUUAUUUAAACCCCCCUGGGCCAGUGCUCCUCUGAGUGUUGGUCCAAACUAGAGCCUUGUGCAGCGCCCCCUCGGGGAAACUCGAGGUUUGGUUUUAGUUGUACGGAUUGCUCAUCUGAGUGUGCCCUGAGAACGAGAUAUGUGCAGCUCCUAUCGGGAUUUGUCAGCACAUUCGGGCGGUGUUGCUGGAUUUGUUUUAACUUGUCGAAGUUGUCUUGUAGAACCGGGAUGCCGAGUCUGAUUGGAACGUCUCGGGAGAAGGUAUAUCCUUCGUUGACCGUGAGAGCUUGUGAUGGGCUAAGUUGGGACUCCCCUGCAGGGAUUUGAACUUUCAAAAGUCGUGCCCGCGGUUAUGGGCAGAUGGGAAUUUGUUAAUAUCUGGUUGUAGAAAACCUGAAGUUGACCUUAAUUAAAAUACAUCAACCGCGUGUGUUACCGUGAUGGUCUCUUCUCGGCGGGGUCCGGGACGUGAACACGGUGUUGGAGUUAUGUUUGACGUAGGUUGUUAUAGGAUCACUUCUUGAUCAUAUUUUCUCGAACGUGCUUUGCCUUCUCUUCUCGCUCUCAUUUGCGCAAGGUAGCCACCAUAUAUGCUAGUCGCUUGCUGCAGCUCCACCUCAUACCUUUACCUUACCCAUAAGUUUAAAUAGUCUUGAUCGCGAGAGUGUGAGAUUGCUGAGUCCCCGUGACUCACAGAUACUUCCAAAACCAGUUUGCAGGUGCCGAUGUUACCGAGCAGGAGACGCAACCAAGCUCAAGGAGGAGCUUGAUGAAGAUCUUGUCCUUUGUGUUGUUUCGUUCUAGUUGAUCAGUAGUGGAGCCCAGUCGGGACGGUCGGGGAUCUGUGUAGCAUUUGGGAUAGUCUUCUUUUAUUUUGGUUCCGUAGUCGGACUUGAUUGUAUCUGGUUGAUGUAAUGCUUUAAUUCAUGUAUUGUGUGAAGUGGCGAUUGUAAGCCAACUAUGUAUCUCUUUCCCUUAUGUAUUACAUGGGAUGUGUGAAGAUUACCUCACUUGCGACAUUGCUUUUAAUGCGGUUAUGCCUCUAAGUCGUGCUUCGACACGUGGGAG
rnacentral:lncRNA from 1 species